AAAAGGGAAGCCCAUGGGCACAGCAUUCUGUCCCUCCUGGAGAGGGUCAUGUUGGGAGAUAUGAAGUCACUGAUUUCUUCCUGUUUCUGGAACUACAGAAGUCGUACAAAUCAGAACAAAAGAAAAAAGAAAAAAAAAGGUUAUCAGAUAAUUCCACUGGAUAAACUCACUGACGACUAAGAAUGUGGACAUUUUUCCACCACUGGGUUAUGAUCCUGUCAGUACAUUAAAGUAAGUGGCAUUAGCCAACUUAAUGCCAGGAUAAUCUGUGAGCUGUUACCUGCCAGAGUG